CAGUAGCCACGGUAAUACGAAGGGUGCAAGCGUUAAUCGGAAUUACUGGGCGUAAAGCGUGCGUAGGCGGUGAGUUAAGUCUGCUGUGAAAUCCCCGGGCUCAACCUGGGAAUGGCAGUGGAUACUGGCUCGCUAGAGUGUGUCAGAGGAUGGUGGAAUUCCCGGUGUAGCGGUGAAAUGCGUAGAGAUCGGGAGGAACAUCAGUAGCGAAGGCGGCCAUCUGGGACAACACUGACGCUGAGGCACGAAAGCGUGGGGAGCAAACAGGAUUAGAGACCCCCGUAGUCCCUGUCUCUUAUAC
rnacentral:rRNA from 1 species